rnacentral:rRNA from 1 species
UACGUAGGGGGCAAGCGGUGUCCGGAUUUAUUGGGCGUAAAGAGCGUGUAGGCGGCUUGGUAGGUCCGCUGUGAAAACUCGAGGCUCAACCUCGAGAUGUCGGCGGAAACCACUUGGCUAGAGUCCGGAAGAGGAGAGUGGAAUUCCUGGUGUAGCGGUGAAAUGCGUAGAUAUCAGGAGGAAUACCGGUGGUGUAGACGGCUCUCUGGACCGCCACUGACGCUGAGACACGAAAGCGUGGGUAGCAAACAGG